rnacentral:rRNA from 2 species
GGCGGCGUGCUUAAUGCAUGCAAGUCGAACGAGGACCCUUUGAUUGGUAACCUUCGAAGGACUCCUAGUGGCGAACGGGUGAGUAACACGUGAGCAACCUGCCCCGAAGACCGGGAUAACCCAUGGAAACGUGGAUUAAUACCGGAUACCCUCUAGGGACCGAAUGGCCCCUUGAGGAAAGGCUCCGGCGCUUCGGGAUGGGCUCGCGGCCUAUCAGCUUGUUGGUGAGGUAACGGCUCACCAAGGCUCUGACGGGUAGCUGGUCUGAGAGGACGAUCAGCCACACUGGGACUGAGACACGGCCCAGACUCCUACGGGAGGCAGCAGCAGGGAAUAUUGCACAAUGGGCGCAAGCCUGAUGCAGCGACGCCGCGUGAGGGAUGAAGGCUUUCGAGUUGUAAACCUCUUUCAGUGGGGAAGAAGCGCAAGUGACGGUACCCACACAAGAAGGCCCGGCCAACUACGUGCCAGCAGCCGCGGUAAUACGUAGGGGCCAAGCGUUAUCCGGAUUUAUUGGGCGUAAAGAGCUCGUAGGCGGCUUGGCAAGUCGGUCGUGAAAGUCCGAGGCUCAACCUCGGAAUGCCGGUCGAAACUGCCAUGGC